UUGGAGAAAUACAGGCUCAGUAUAGCACUGAAUGAGAACACAGACAUUUGCUGUACCUGUGAGUGGUGGGUGUUCUCUCACUAACAGAAACAAGUGGCAUGUUUUCACGGUUGCUUCAUCUUCUUUUUUGAAAGCGCUUUCUUGGGAAAUAGUGGAAAGCAGUCCGGACUGAUGCAUCUUUGGCAUUUACAAUAAAAAAGACACCAAGUGGGACAAAUCCUGCAUAUCAUCCUUGGCAAAUUAAUUCCUCUGUGGCUUGGCCAUGCAUACAAACAAGUUACUGGGUGAUCACUUGUCACUACACAGAACUGGCAAGCAGGAAGACCCAAGAAAGAUGGAACAAGAGGAGCAGUUAAAAUCCCCAACCAGACAUACCCUGCAAAGCCUGCCCAGUAUGGAAGGGCACUGAGUCAUGCACAGCCUUCGGCUGAGAGUUUUGGAGAACACAGCGGGAGACAGAACUACAGAGCAGCAAGCAGUAGCUGUAGACCCCACCAGG